rnacentral:tRNA from 1 species
AUAGUGGUGGUUCAGUGGUAGAAUUCUUGCCUUCCAAGCGACAGACCCAGGUUAGAUUCCCAGCCAAUGCA